UACGGGGGGGGUAAGCGUUGUUCGGAAUUACUGGGCGUAAAGGGCUCGUAGGCGGCCAACUAAGUCGAACGUGAAAUCCCCGGGCUCAACCCGGGAACUGCGUCCGAUACCGGAAGGCUUGAAUCCGGGGGAGGGAUGCGGAAUUCCAGGUGUAGCGGUGAAAUGCGUAGAUAUCUGGAGGAACACCGGUGGCGAAGGCGGCAUCCUGGACCGGCAUUGACGCUGAGGCGCGAAAGCCAGGGGAGCAAACGGG
rnacentral:rRNA from 1 species